AUACGUAGGGGGCGAGCGUUGUCCGGAAUUACUGGGCGUAAAGAGCUCGUAGGUGGUUUGUCGCGUCGUCUGUGAAAUUCCGGGGCUUAACUCCGGGCGUGCAGGCGAUACGGGCAUAACUUGAGUACUGUAGGGGAGACUGGAAUUCCUGGUGUAGCGGUGAAAUGCGCAGAUAUCAGGAGGAACACCGGUGGCGAAGGCGGGUCUCUGGGCAGUAACUGACGCUGAGGAGCGAAAGCAUGGGUAGCGAACAGGAUUAGAUACCCUGGUAGUCCAUGCCGUAAACGGUGGGCGCUAGGUGUAGGGGUCUUCCACGACUUCUGUGCCGUAGCUAACGCAUUAAGCGCCCCGCCUGGGGAGUACGGCUGCAAGGCUAAAACUCAAAUGAAUUGACGGGG
rnacentral:rRNA from 1 species